GGUGGAUGUACUUUAGCCUCUGAAUUAAAUUCCUCUCCCCCUGCUUGUAAAGAUCAGGAGCUAAACCUGCAGCUUGAACUACAAGACCCCGAUGCAGCAGGAGAGUCAAGAGGAAAGAUGUUGGACUCACAUCUGUCAAGUGGAGGGAAACACACAGCCGAGGACGGUUAAUGUGGACAUGAGAUAUGUUUGCGUCUGAAGACUGCAGCCCAAGACGCCCAUAGGAAGCCUCCAUCCUGGUGCCCGCUGGGCUUUUUACCAGAAAUGCAGUGUAGUGGCCAGUCCAUACUCUGAAUUCGUGGUGAACUGACAAACACCUGCAUGUGGAA
rnacentral:lncRNA from 1 species